GCUUUCAUAUUUGAUAGAAAUUUUAAUAUUGAAGUUCACAAUCUGUCGUAUCGGGUAGAAUAUUUGACUUGAAUGUAGCUUGCCUUUUUUCUUUCCACUGCGGUGGCCUAUGAUAAUCGUAUCGUAGUGCAACCUCUCCGUUCUUUAUGGUUAGCCAUUUUAAGGCCGGAGACAUCUGAUUAAUAAAUGUUAGAAGAAGCUACGGUCUU
rnacentral:misc_RNA from 1 species